GGGGAAAGGGGGGGGUACCAAAUACAUGCAAGUCGAGCGAAUGGAUUAAGAGCUUGCUCUUAUGAAGUUAGCGGCGGACGGGUGAGUAACACGUGGGUAACCUGCCCAUAAGACUGGGAUAACUCCGGGAAACCGGGGCUAAUACCGGAUAACAUUUUGAACCGCAUGGUUCGAAAUUGAAAGGCGGCUUCGGCUGUCACUUAUGGAUGGACCCGCGUCGCAUUAGCUAGUUGGUGAGGUAACGGCUCACCAAGGCAACGAUGCGUAGCCGACCUGAGAGGGUGAUCGGCCACACUGGGACUGAGACACGGCCCAGACUCCUACGGGAGGCAGCAGUAGGGAAUCUUCCGCAAUGGACGAAAGUCUGACGGAGCAACGCCGCGUGAGUGAUGAAGGCUUUCGGGUCGUAAAACUCUGUUGUUAGGGAAGAACAAGUGCUAGUUGAAUAAGCUGGCACCUUGACGGUACCUAACCAGAAAGCCACGGCUAACUACGUGCCAGCAGCCGCGGUAAUACGUAGGUGGCAAGCGUUAUCCGGAAUUAUUGGGCGUAAAGCGCGCGCAGGUGGUUUCUUAAGUCUGAUGUGAAAGCCCACGGCUCAACCGUGGAGGGUCAUUGGAAACUGGGAGACUUGAGUGCAGAAGAGGAAAGUGGAAUUCCAUGUGUAGCGGUGAAAUGCGUAGAGAUAUGGAGGAACACCAGUGGCGAAGGCGACUUUCUGGUCUGUAACUGACACUGAGGCGCGAAAGCGUGGGGAGCAAACAGGAUUAGAUACCUUGGUAGUCCAAAA
rnacentral:rRNA from 1 species